ensembl:lncRNA
ACACACACACACACACACACACACACACACACACACACACACACACACACACACACCACCACCACCUCUGUCCCCACACUCAACAAGGAUGCAGGCUUGUCUGCUAUUCCAUUGUUGCUCUUUAUGCCCAACCACUGCAGCAGACAGCCGCUGUGGGGUUGAGUAAAGAUAGCCAUCAUUGGGUCUUAUUGGGCCUCCGCAGGCCGAGACAGACCCGGCCCCCCGCCACAGACCCCAGUCCCAGCUCUAUCGUCGUCCCUGGCGAACAAGAACAACAGAAGACACUUGCGCUGCAUAAUUAGCGUGCGGUUAACGUUCGAUCAGCAGAAGGUACACGCGUGCUGUAUCCUGUGUAGGCUUUCGGCCCGCAAACCUCGCAAACAGUUGAUCAGGUCAAGUUUGAAAGAGGUAGGGUGUCGCGUCUGAUGCCUUUUAUCACUUGUGAUCAAAUAAGGCAGCUGUUUAAAGUUUUAGGAUAUCUUAUUUGUUUGCUUUGUUUACAUAUUGUCUAGUCUGUCUUUCGUUCAAAGAGUGGCCAGGUAAUGCACAUCUUUCGCCUGUAAUGGAUAAGGCAUUGGCGUAUAUUAAUGCCCCCCGCAACCAGGCUGGGAGUAUUUACAUUCCUUUCAUGCAUUAUGAUUAGCAUGAUAUCAUACACUCUUCUUGACCAUAUUUGUUUUACCCAUUUAUUUAUAUUAAUCUCUUUAACAUGAUUGGUGUUUGGAGGAAACCAAUUGAGUAUUGACGAUACGAUUGACUAUGGCAUGAAUUAUUGACGAAGGUCAGAUGUUAUGACAAAUUAAUUAAUUAUGGAAAAACAUAAAAUAUUGUUGAUUAGGUGGAAAUCAUUUAACAUUUAUCAUUUCGAUAUUUAAAGGGGACCAAUUCUCUGGAACAUGUAACAUUUACAGUUGGAGGCUAGUUAUAUACAAGUUAUAGCCAUUUGCUAUACACAGUAACAACUCUUUACCUUAUGAAGCUAAGUGAACAAAAUAAAUCUUUAUCUGAUGAGGAGCUUACUUGAAACGAAAACAUCAUUAUUAUUCUACAAAUUUGUGGACCAUUUUUAUAUAUUGUACAUACAUUUUUUAAUCUAUUUGUGUUGAAUGCCUAUUUUCCUCAGAAAAAAUACAUAUUUUUGUGACAUAUCUGGAUAUUUUUGUCAUUUUAAUUGACAAAAAUGCCAGGAGGCGAAGGUAUACAAAAUCGAAUUUCUGGUUAUACAAAUAUUUACUAUUACACAUAGACCUUGUGUUUUCUGAAUGUUUGAUCAUAUCUCAUGAUGAAUUUGUUCUAAUGGGAGGGUUCUCAGGUAUUUGCAAAGGGAAGUUUGUUCGUAUUUUUCCAAUGUGUAAUUAUGAAUGUUGUAAUGUUUUUUGUUGUUUGCAAUCUCUUUGACCUAGUCUUGUCUGAAUGAUGUAGAAAUGGAUUCAUUUUUAUUUUAAGUACUGCCAACAACCCUCAAAAGUCAUGAAGAUACUUGGCUGUGAAUAAUGCAAUGUCAUUUUUAAAGGCAAUGAGCCGACUACUAUUCACAUAAUGGAAUCUUUAGAUAUGAAGUUUGAACAAUGAAACUCUUGCACAUGAUCUGAGUGUCGUCCUACAAAUGUGUCCGGUUUUGUUUCUUUUACUGCAAACUGAUGCAUUGUUUUGGUUGUAUUACCAAAACCAUGUUGUAAACCAUGCCAUUGUCAAAAUCAUUUAAAUAAAAUUAUACCGUUUUUCUUUAAGUAA